AGAUUGAACGCUGGCGGCAGGCCUAACACAUGCAAGUCGAGCGGCAGCACGGGUACUUGUACCUGGUGGCGAGCGGCGGACGGGUGAGUAAUGCCUAGGAAUCUGCCUGGUAGUGGGGGAUAACGCUCGGAAACGGACGCUAAUACCGCAUACGUCCUACGGGAGAAAGCAGGGGACCUUCGGGCCUUGCGCUAUCAGAUGAGCCUAGGUCGGAUUAGCUAGUUGGUGAGGUAAUGGCUCACCAAGGCGACGAUCCGUAACUGGUCUGAGAGGAUGAUCAGUCACACUGGAACUGAGACACGGUCCAGACUCCUACGGGAGCAGCAGUGGGAAUAUUGGACAAUGGGCGAAAGCCUGAUCCAGCCAUGCCGCGUGUGUGAAGAAGGUCUUCGGAUUGUAAAGCAACUUUAAGUUGGAAGGAAGGCAGUUACCUAAUACGUAUCUGUUUUGACGUUACCGACAGAAUAAGCUACCGGCUAACUCUGUG
rnacentral:rRNA from 1 species